ensembl:snRNA U2 U2 spliceosomal RNA
AUCGCUUCUCAGCCUUUUGGCUAAGAUCAAGUGUAGUAUCAAGUGUAGUAUGCAAAAAUGAACUGUAUUCCUGUGUACUAGCAGCAACAAUUGGAAAAUAAAGUUUUUAAAAAUUUUCCAUUUAUAAUAGCACCAAAC